rnacentral:rRNA from 1 species
UACGUAGGGGGCAAGCGUUAUCCGGAUUUACUGGGUGUAAAGGGAGCGCAGGCGGUAUGGCAAGUCAGAUGUGAAAACCCAGGGCUCAACCCUGGGACUGCAUUUGAAACUGCCAUACUGGAGUGCCGGAGAGGUAAGUGGAAUUCCUAGUGUAGCGGUGAAAUGCGUAGAUAUUAGGAGGAACACCAGUGGCGAAGGCGGCUUACUGGACGGUAACUGACGCUGAGGCUCGGAAAGCGUGGGGAGCAAACAGG